GGUAGCAUUGCUGGUGAGCGCUGAUGAAAUUUGACGCUCGCAAUGCUUUAUUCGCUUUCUUCUUCUGACCACGGAUGUACUGGCAUUGGUUUGAGAGCGACUUCAGGAAGGUCGGCGCGUUUCGCUCCGGCCUUUUUUGUU
rnacentral:sRNA from 1 species